rnacentral:rRNA from 1 species
AGAGUUUGAUCAUGGCUCAGGACGAACGCUGGCGGCGUGCCUAAUACAUGCAAGUCGAACGCUUCUUUUUCCACCGGAGCUUGCUCCACCGGAAAAAGAGGAGUGGCGAACGGGUGAGUAACACGUGGGUAACCUGCCCAUCAGAAGGGGAUAACACUUGGAAACAGGUGCUAAUACCGUAUAACAAUCGAAACCGCAUGGUUUUGAUUUGAAAGGCGCUUUCGGGUGUCGCUGAUGGAUGGACCCGCGGUGCAUUAGCUAGUUGGUGAGGUAACGGCUCACCAAGGCCACGAUGCAUAGCCGACCUGAGAGGGUGAUCGGCCACAUUGGGACUGAGACACGGCCCAAACUCCUACGGGAGGCAGCAGUAGGGAAUCUUCGGCAAUGGACGAAAGUCUGACCGAGCAACGCCGCGUGAGUGAAGAAGGUUUUCGGAUCGUAAAACUCUGUUGUUAGAGAAGAACAAGGAUGAGAGUAACUGUUCAUCCCUUGACGGUAUCUAACCAGAAAGCCACGGCUAACUACGUGCCAGCAGCCGCGGUAAUACGUAGGUGGCAAGCGUUGUCCGGAUUUAUUGGGCGUAAAGCGAGCGCAGGCGGUUUCUUAAGUCUGAUGUGAAAGCCCCCGGCUCAACCGGGGAGGGUCAUUGGAAACUGGGAGACUUGAGUGCAGAAGAGGAGAGUGGAAUUCCAUGUGUAGCGGUGAAAUGCGUAGAUAUAUGGAGGAACACCAGUGGCGAAGGCGGCUCUCUGGUCUGUAACUGACGCUGAGGCUCGAAAGCGUGGGGAGCAAACAGGAUUAGAUACCCUGGUAGUCCACGCCGUAAACGAUGAGUGCUAAGUGUUGGAGGGUUUCCGCCCUUCAGUGCUGCAGCUAACGCAUUAAGCACUCCGCCUGGGGAGUACGACCGCAAGGUUGAAACUCAAAGGAAUUGACGGGGGCCCGCACAAGCGGUGGAGCAUGUGGUUUAAUUCGAAGCAACGCGAAGAACCUUACCAGGUCUUGACAUCCUUUGACCACUCUAGAGAUAGAGCUUCCCCUUCGGGGGCAAAGUGACAGGUGGUGCAUGGUUGUCGUCAGCUCGUGUCGUGAGAUGUUGGGUUAAGUCCCGCAACGAGCGCAACCCUUAUUGUUAGUUGCCAUCAUUCAGUUGGGCACUCUAGCAAGACUGCCGGUGACAAACCGGAGGAAGGUGGGGAUGACGUCAAAUCAUCAUGCCCCUUAUGACCUGGGCUACACACGUGCUACAAUGGGAAGUACAACGAGUCGCGAAGUCGCGAGGCUAAGCUAAUCUCUUAAGGCUUCUCUCAGUUCGGAUUGCAGGCUGCAACUCGCCUGCAUGAAGCCGGAAUCGCUAGUAAUCGCGGAUCAGCACGCCGCGGUGAAUACGUUCCCGGGCCUUGUACACACCGCCCGUCACACCACGAGAGUUUGUAACACCCGAAGUCGGUGAGGUAACCUUUUUGGAGCCAGCCGCCUAAGGUGGGAUAGAUGAUUGGGGUGAAGUCGUAACAAGGUAACCGU